AAGAACAAGAGAGUGAGAGCACGAACACAAGUCAGCUGAUCCAAGAAGGACUUAGAUCAGGGGUUGGCAAACUUUUCUGGGCAUGGUAGUUCAUGCCUGUAAUCAUAGAACUUUGAGAGGCUGAGGUGGGCAGAUCACAAGGUCAAGGGAUGGAGACAAUUCUGGCCAACAUGGUGAAACCCUGUCUCUAC